UACGGAGGAUGCGAGCGUUAUCCGGAUUUAUUGGGUUUAAAGGGUGCGUAGGCGGAUCGUUAAGUCAGUGGUCAAAUUGAGGGGCUCAACCCCUUCCCGCCAUUGAAACUGGCGAUCCUGAGUGGAAGAGAAGUAUGCGGAAUGCGUGGUGUAGCGGUGAAAUGCAUAGAUAUCACGCAGAACCCCGAUUGCGAAGGCAGCAUGCCGGCUUCCGACUGACGCUGAAGCACGAAAGCGUGGGGAUCGAACAGG
rnacentral:rRNA from 1 species